rnacentral:lncRNA from 1 species
GGGUGAGCAGCCUGCAGUCCGCAUUAGGGAAGCUAGGAGCAACAAAAGAACCAGAGGACUGAGUCACUGUGCCCGCUGGCCUUUCCGGAUGUCCUUGAGAGCAUGACCACGGAUGAGGGCCGUUUCUCCCUGGGCAACUGCUGAGUCAAAGGCUGUAUUGUUGCCGGAGCCCAUUGACAGACAUUCCCGUGUGCCUCUCAGCAAACAGCUGCCCUGGUUUAUAAAUUAAGGAUUCAAAGCACCAUCUCUCCAGAAGUUAUUUCCCUCAGGAUUUCGUAUGACGACGAUGGGUUUGAUUGUCAUGAGCUCAUUUCCCCUUAGGGUUGCUUUCUGCAUUCAGAUGCAUGGUGCAGUCGCUGAUGAGGAUGAAGAUGUGACUCCUGCAACAAUAUAGGGGUUUCUUGGAACACUGUGAGGGCUCUUUUUAUAGUUUAUGUCAACACUGAGCUGAGCAGGUGCCAGUGGGCACGAAUAUAUGACACCUUCCUAGUCUCUGACUAUAAUCCAGCAGGUCUCGCUGUGGGGUGCCCCCUGCUCUUUAGGUAUCCUACACACUGGACUUCAAGGCAAAGGUGCUGGGUUUGGAGGUAAAAGGAAGAGAAAAACAAAGUUGCUUAGGUA